AUUGAACGCUGGCGGAAUGCUUUACACAUGCAAGUCGAACGGCAGCACGGGUGCUUGCACCUGGUGGCGAGUGGCGAACGGGUGAGUAAUACAUCGGAACGUACCCAGUCGUGGGGGAUAACGUAGCGAAAGUUACGCUAAUACCGCAUACGUCCUGAGGGAGAAAGCGGGGGACCGUAAGGCCUCGCGCGAUUGGAGCGGCCGAUGGCGGAUUAGCUAGUUGGGGGGGUAAAGGCCUACCAAGGCGACGAUCCGUAGCGGGUCUGAGAGGACGGCCCGCAACGCUGGAACUGAGACGCGGUCCAGACUCCUACGGGAGGCAGCAGUGGGGAAUUUUGGACAAUGGGCGAAAGCCUGAUCCAGCCAUUCCGCGUGAGUGAAGAAGGCCUUCGGGUUGUAAAGCUCUUUCGGCAGGGAAGAAACGGCUUGGGAUAAUACCCCGGGCUAAUGACGGUACCUGAAGAAGAAGCACCGGCUAACUACGUGCCAGCAGCCGCCGUAA
rnacentral:rRNA from 1 species